AGGCUCUUGCAUCGAUGAAGAACGCAGUGAAAUGCGAUAAGUAAUGUGAAUUGCAGAAUCUCGUGAAUCAUCGAAUCUUUGAACGCACAUUGCGCCCUAUGGUAUUCCGUAGGGCAUGCCUGUCUGAGCGUCAGCUCCCACCCACUCAAGCAUCUUUUAUUUGGGAUUCUUGGAAUGAUUUGGAGAGAUGUCUUGUCAUAGAGACGUCCUCCAGAAAUUCAUAGGCAGUAUGGUUUGCACCUGAACCAGACGUAAUAAUAAUAAAAUCGUUUGAUUGGGAAUAAUUGUGCUUGCCUUAACCCACCCAUUUUUCUCAUUUGGGUGACCUCAGAUCAGGUAGGGAUACCCGCUGA
rnacentral:misc_RNA from 1 species